rnacentral:rRNA from 1 species
AUGGCCUACCAAGGCGACGACGGGUAGCCGGCCUGAGAGGGCGACCGGCCACACUGGGACUGAGACACGGCCCAGACUCCUACGGGAGGCAGCAGUGGGGAAUAUUGCGCAAUGGGCGGAAGCCUGACGCAGCGACGCCGCGUGAGGGAUGACGGCCUUCGGGUUGUAAACCUCUUUCAGCUCGGACGAAGCGAGAGUGACGGUACGAGCAGAAGAAGCACCGGCCAACUACGUGCCAGCAGCCGCGGUAAUACGUAGGGUGCAAGCGUUGUCCGGAAUUAUUGGGCGUAAAGAGCUCGUAGGCGGUUUGUCGCGUCGGAUGUGAAAACCCGGGGCUCAACUCCGGGCCUGCAUUCGAUACGGGCAGACUAGAGUUCGGUAGGGGAGACUGGAAUUCCUGGUGUAGCGGUGAAAUGCGCAGAUAUCAGGAGGAACACCGGUGGCGAAGGCGGGUCUCUGGGCCGAUACUGACGCUGAGGAGCGAAAGCGUGGGGAGCGAACAGGAUUAGCAUACCCUGGUAGUCCACGCCGUAAACGUUGGGCGCUAGGUGUGGGG